CCGCGUCCGAAGACCGCCGAGGCCUCCCGCAGCUCCGCGGUGACACCCGGGUCAGGGGCGCGGGGCCGGGCGCCGGGGAUUGUGGGAGGCGCGGGGGGGCGCGCCGGCCGCCUUCGGAGCCCCCCAACUCGCGUCCUGCAAAGGCCGCCGGGCCCUGUCGAGAAGACCCGACCGCAGAUGGCGGGGAGGAUGCUCCCGGCGGCGUGGGAACCGGGUCUGACUCCCGAGCCACCGCCGCUUCCGCAGGGGCGCCGGCCCCGGGAAAGUCAAGUCAUAAAUCCCUGAAUCUAAAACUCCAUUCUCAGAGAAAAGGCCUCCAAGGACGGGCGCCGUGCGCGGCAACUGCCUGCAGUUUUGAAGCCCUUUGACUAUUUCAUAACAAAGACAAGGCCGGGCGGCUUGGACGCUUAGGAAAAUCCUGGGGCUUUGCAAAAACAACAGGUUAAUCUAGUCGUGUGGGAUGAUCACCAAAACAAGACAGGAAAGAAGAACACCGUGUCAAUGCUGAAAAGCCAGCCCCUGUGAGCCCCAAAGUGCACGUUUUCCACAGUCCCAAGGAACACGUGACUGUGUGUUUCCACACUUGAGAAGUCAGGAUAAGACCCCUUGGAUAAUGGAACAGGGGAUGGGGGUGGGAGCAAGCACCCUACCUGGUCACCUGCUUAACUUAGAAACCAGCUUUUAAAACCUGUAACUGCAGUAUGAGCUACGAUCAAAUUUGUCUUAACGUAUUUUUUUUAAUGUUUUUAAUACCCAGAACACAGGGCUUCUACUCCAGGGUUUCCUCGCCAGGGAACCCCAAACACACAGGACCUGGAGAAGCCGGGUAGAGCUGGCUCCUGGCCCUGCGCUUGGGUGGUCGGCUGCCUUAAGAAGAACUGCACCCCAGAGACAGGCUCGCAGCUGCCGACCUUAUCCACUCGCCCUUUCUGCUGGAGCCCAGGCCCAGUGCUCCAGCAAGGAGGCUGAGAAAAUGCUGAAGACUGAUGCCCACGGGGGACAGCUUGGGCUAAGGAUAACGUUUGCAAAACAAACCUUUAAAAACCCAUAGCAACCUGUUUCCUAGAGCACACUCUUCAUCUCUCCACCCCCAAACUAGUCCCGACUCGGAUCCUCCUUUUCCUAUCCUCUUUCUCUUGCUCUCCCGUCUCCUAUUCACUUUUCUUCUCCUUUCCUCUUGAUUAUUAUAAACAAAUGCUUUCCAAGUCUUACCGCCAUCAUAUGUGUACAUAUGCAACCCUUACUGUUACCAAUUUGUUGAAGUCAAGACAGGAGGAGGCAAAGUUUAAAAAUCAGAAGUAUUGCAGGAAAUGAAAAUGGAGUGAGUGUUGCCUGGGUAUCAUAAUUUUUUUUUUUUUUUUAACAGUUCCUCUACUUGGCUCUCCUCCAAAGGUACGCGGCCACAGCAGGCAGGGGCUUGGCAGUGUGGGAGGAGACACCACAGAAGACAGGGAAGAACUACCAGGCCUUGGUUCAUCUCCACACUGGCGAGAGAGGACGUGCAGUUACCUGCUACCUGUUCGACUCAGUCUUUUACGUUGGAGUAACUUAACACAUUGCUGCCCUUAACUUUGACUUACUUGCUUUUAAAGAUGAUGAAGCUGGCCAGGCGCCGUGACUCAUACCUAUAAUCCCAGCAUUUUGGGAGGCCCAGGCAGGUGGAUCACGAGGUCAGCAGUUCAAGACCAGCCUGGCCAACAUGGUGAAACCCUGUCUCUACCAAAAAUACAAAAAUUAGCUGGGCGUGGUGGCGCGUGCCUAUAAUCCCAGCUACUCAGGAGGCUGAGGCAGGAGAAUCACUUGAACCCGGGAGGCAGAGGUUGCAGGGAGCCGAGAUCGCACCACUGCACUCCAGCCUGGGCAAUAGAGCAAGUCUCCAUCUAGGGAACAACAACAACAAAAAGAUUAUGAAGCCUUAGGAAGAACAGGGAUAUUCACCUGCUGCUGAGCCCCCCUCCGCUUUGAUCUUGGAAGUAUCGGCUGCCAGAUAGGGAGCUGAGACUUCAAGAAGCUAAAUAAGGUGUCCAACACCACAGAGCAUGGAGCAAAGGACACGGGACUGCAAAUCUUCCUAACUCGUGUGCUCAUCUGGCUAUCUCACCAGGGCCUUAAAUUUAAUAUAUCCCAAACUGAACUCAUCUUUACCCCUUCCCACUUUGCACUCCUCAAAUGUCCUUGUUUAAAAUAGUUACCUUUAUCUUUCCUAACCCAGAAACUCAAAACCUGGCAUCAUCUUUGACUUCUCUCUUUACCUUCACAUUCAACAGUUUCCAAGACUUAAAGGCUUUAUUUGUAGGAUCUCUACCACUGAUCCUCUACAGUUUCACACCUACAUCCCAUUCUCGUUCCCAAAUCCCCAUAACUCCUCUCCUGGCCCAUCCCUUAACACUGAAAUCCUGGCUUGGAAAAUAUGGUCACAUUCACAGCAGCUGUCCCCAAGAAGGAAGCCAAGGCAACAGUAUGCACAAUGAAAUCACUCUGGGAGAAACUCACUGCCAUGUUGUGACAACACUAUGGAGACGCCCAGGUGAGGGACUGAGGCUUCCUGCCAACAGCCACAUGAAUAAGAUUGGGAACAGAUCCUCCAGCCCCAGUCAAGCCUUCAGAUGACUGCAGUCUCAUGAAAGACCCUGUGCCAAAACCACCCAGCUUGAUGAAAUAAUCUGUACAACAAACCCCCAUGACACAAGUUUACUACAACAAACCUGCACAUGUACCCCUGAACUUAAAAGUUAAAACAAAACCACCACCACCACCACCACCACCCAGAAAAAACACCCAGCUAAGCCACUUCUGAAUUCCUAACCUACAGAAACUAUGAAAUAAUAAAUAUUUGUAUUUUCAAAAUUAGCUGGGUGUGGUGCCAUGUGCUUAUAAUCCCAGCUACUUGAGAGGCUGAGGCAUGAGAAUCACUUGAACCUGAGAGGCAGAGGUUGCAGUGAGCCAAGAUUGUGCCACUGCAAUCCAGCCUGGGCAGCAGAGCGAGACUCUCUCAAAAAAAAGAAAAAAGAAAGAAAGAGAGAAGAAAAAUUAAAAUUAAUGUGUAG
rnacentral:lncRNA from 10 species